AGAAAAUCGACUGUUAAAACAGAAGGUGACUCACAUUCUCGCUUACAAGGAUGACUUCAUGUCAGAAAGGGCAGAUCGGGAACAGGCUCAAGGUAGGAUUCAGGAACUGGAGGAAAAGGUCACCUCUUUGCUGCACCAGGUGUCCUGGAGACAGGAUUCUCAAGAGCCAGACGCCGGCUGGAUUCACGCUGGGAGCAAAACUGCCAAGUACUUGGC
rnacentral:lncRNA from 1 species